GGCCUUUGCAAUAGUUGCCAACGACAACUUUGCUCCGGUGGCGGUGGCCGCGUAAGCGGUCCCCAAUACCAAAUUAAGUCCUAGCGGGUAGCUCCGCAUAGGCGGGGUUCGGAGGCACCUGGCAACAGAAGCCUCCACU
rnacentral:tmRNA from 1 species